rnacentral:rRNA from 1 species
CCUACGGGUGGCAGCAGUGGGGAAUCUUGCGCAAUGGGCGAAAGCCUGACGCAGCAACGCCGCGUGCGGGAUGAAGGCCCUCUGGGCUGUAAACCGCUUUCAGCAGGAACGAAACUGACGGUACCUGCAGAAGAAGGAGCGGCCAACUACGUGCCAGCAGCCGCGGUGACACGUAGGCUCCAAGCGUUGUCCGGAUUUAUUGGGCGUAAAGAGCUCGUAGGCGGUUGAGUAAGUCGGGUGUGAAACCUCUGGGCUUAACCCGGAGACGCCACUCGAUACUGCUCUGACUUGAGUUCAGGAGGGGAGCGGGGAAUUCCCGGUGUAGCGGUGAAAUGCGCAGAUAUCGGGAGGAACACCAGUGGCGAAGGCGCCGCUCUGGACUGACACUGACGCUGAGGAGCGAAAGCGUGGGUAGCAAACAGGAUUAGAUACCCCUGUAGUC